rnacentral:rRNA from 1 species
UACGGAGGGUGCGAGCGUUGUCCGGAAUCACUGGGCGUAAAGGGCGCGUAGGCGGCCUGAUAAGUAGGGGGGUGAAAUCCUGCGGCUUAACCGCAGGGCUGCCUUCUAAACUGUCAGGCUAGAGCACGGUAGAGGCAGAUGGAAUUCCCGGUGUAGCGGUGGAAUGCGUAGAGAUCGGGAAGAACAUCAGUGGCGAAGGCGGUCUGCUGGGCCGUUGCUGACGCUGAGGCGCGACAGCGGUGGGGAGCAAACAGG